GCCAGAUAUUACAUAAUGUCAUUCAGCAGCAUUCCCACUUCCUCCCAUAGUCUUCCCAGGGACUAAAAGUCUGUAAACUGCAUUUCCUUGUCUUCUUUGCUACUGCAGCUUCUGACACUACAGAUUUUUACAAUGACAUGUACCUGCGUCAGAUUUGGAAGAUGGAAGGGGAGCAGAGGCCUUUCUCUGUAAUUGGCAGUGUAUGUGUGGAUUUCAGCAAACAUGGUCUUUUAGGUCAAAGAUGUCCAAUCUUUUGGCUUCCCUGGGUUUUACUGAAAGAAUUGUCUUGGACCACACAUAAAAUAGACUAACACUAAGGAUAGCUGAUGAGCUUUUAAAAAAUUACCAAAAACACUCAUAUUGUUUUAAGAAAGUUUAUAAAUGUGUGCAUUCAAAGCUGUCCUGGGCUGUGUGCAGCCCAUGGCCACAAGUUGGACCAAGCUUGUUUUAGGUAAUUAUGUUUCCCUGACAACCUGUCAUUUUAGGACGAUGGUGCCCUGGUAGUGGCCUUUCCUACCAUCUCCUGGUUCCUGGGUGGCAGCGGGAACUUCUUGAUUUUCUGGAUCACAGUUAAAGCCUUCUGAUUUUCACUGUUUCAGCACUUUCAAAGUUCUGGGAUUCACUCCAUCAACAUUAACCUCCUGGGCUCAAGCAAUCCUCCCACCUCAGCCUCCCAAGCAGCUGGGACUACGAUGCUUCCCACCAUACGCAGCUAAUUUUGGGGGUUAUUUUGUUUGUUUGUUUUUUAUACAGAGUCUCACUCUGUCACCAGGUGCCAGGCUGGAGUGCAGGGGCACGAUCUCAGCUCUCUGCAACCUCUGCCUCCUGUGUUCAAGCAAUUCUCCUGCCUCAGCCUCUCAAGUAGCUAGGACUACAGGCAUGCACCACCACACUCAACUAAUUUUUGUAUUUUAGCAGAGAAGGGGUUUCACCAUGUUGGCCGGGAUGGUCUCGAUCUCUUGACCUCAUGAUCCACCUGCCUCAACUUCCCAAAGUGCUGGGAUUACAGGUGUGAGCCACCGUGCCUGGCCCAAUUUUUGUGUUUUUAUAGUAGAGACAGGGUUUCUCUAUGUUGCCCAAGCUGGUCUCAAACUCCUGAGCUUAAACAAUACACCCACCUUGGCCUCCCAAAGUACUGGGAUUACAGGCAUGAGCCACCACACCUGGCCUUUUUUAAAGGCCAUAACUACUUGGAAUUUAUUUAAAUGCUACCCAAAAAAAUAUUUUCAUAAAGAGAAACUCUUUAGAGUUUACAUUCAAAUCAGACUUCUUCUCAAGCCUCACACCAGGCUCCUCCCACUCUGAUAUCACUGAAGAAUUC
rnacentral:lncRNA from 1 species